GCUCGGCACGGACCCGCCCGGGCGCGCUCCUCCUGCCGGCUCCCGGCAUCCCACCGCCCUGCUCAGCGCUGGCCGGUGAUCCCUGCCGCCCGGGAGCAUCCAGUGUAGAAGCUCGCCCACCGAGGUCGCGAUGGAAGUCUGGACCGCCAAGCUGUGUGACUCGUUUACUGGCAGGUAUUCCUCUGAUACAGUGGGUAAUGACUCUGCUCUUCAGCCUGAGAGUGGUUCAAAAUAAUGAGGGAUGAAGAUGGAUAUCCCAUUUUGUAUCCAGACAAGGACGAAGAGGCUGAGCAGAACCAACAGCAACAGCACAGCAGAGAUGAUCGAGUGCCCUUCAGCCGCCCCAGGAUCUCCCAGCAUGGUGCGGUGGGGCAGCUGGUGUUGUGAAUCAGGCCGUUGCCAAUCAGAGAACGGCUACUUCACAACACCAGGGUCACACCCCACCACAGGCAGCUCUGCACCAGAACCAACAAGCGUCCACCACGUCCACCACGAGGCAGCCGAGCCCUUCACAGAAGGUCAUCCCAGGACACCUCCUCCCAGCUCCAGAACCCAGGCCUGCAGCCCUCUACUUCCUGUCCUGCUGAUGUGGCUGCACCACAAACACUAGCAUCCUGUGGCUGCUAUUUAUCUGAACAUGAGUAACUCCACUUUUAAAAGAAAAAAAUCCAAUCCCGGCAGGAUUAACUUUCUAUGGAGACACUGGUGCUACCAGACUUCCCACAGGGAAAAUGGUGUCAGGGGCCAUCAGAAGGGUUAAGCGCCACCAAUGAACAUUUCCUCAUAAGUGCAGGAGACACAGGUGUUGAGGAGCUGAGACCUUUGCCUUGAUCUUUAGGGAUAGUACUUUGAAACGGAGCAAAGUAGAGUGGGGAAAGGACCUAAUUAUAGGAUAGUACCCUCAGGGAACAGUUCCAGAGAGAUGGAAUUCUUUAGAGCUACACAUGUGGGGAACAUGUCUGUUUCCUAGAGGGACCCAGGUUCUCUGAAGAGUGAACUCCUUUCCAGGAGGAGAGCCCCACAGCUGUCCAGCAGGUACAUGGCCCAAAGUCAUGAAUGUCAGACGACAGCCAAACACAAGACGUACCUGAACUGACAGGUGGGCUUCCUUUCCUCAGGUCCUCACAGCCAGGGACCUCAAAAAGUUGGCAAUCUAACUGGGGUCUCCAGAGCUUGAAUGUUUUUAUGCUUAGUAGAUAUUACAUGAGACGCCACCAUUUUUGAGACUUCAGACAGAAUUCCCAAGAUGGGGUGGUGGGGUUGCCCAGCAUUCUUUGUGAAGCACUAGGGAAAAGGAAGACGUCCAUCUCUUUGGCUUUGCAUAGACGAGAGAUCCAGACCCACUCUGAUCCAGCUUUAUGCUGUGCAUUAUUUGUACAAGGCUUUGCUGCUGUCCCAUUGAAAGCCAAAGAGACAGACAAAAUCAAGCCCUGCACAACAUCAAGGUUCCACAAACAGAGCCUGGGUUAAUCAGUGCCACCUUGACCUCAGUCACCUUAGAGCCUGGGAGGUAAAUCUCCUGAGAAGUUCUGUCUCUUACCCCAUCCCCAGAGCACCAAGAGCAUCCCUGAAAUUUGUAAUAAAUUGUGUUUACCUCUCGGAGUAAAAGUCCAAGAUUUUAGAGAGGUCCCCCUACUAUCUCCUUAGAACAUACAAACUACAUUUCUGAGAAUUCAUCCACCAUUGACUCCACAACCACCAACAGAGUCCAGGAUAGCAUCACUCACAGAGUGGCCCCUGGAGACAGCUGCCACAUGUGGGACAAGCAGAAUUCCUGGCUUCAUUGCCCACUGCUAUGUCACAAUCUCCAAUGGGGACAGUGACCCAGGCCAGUAACUACACGUGAACAAGCCCUCUAAGGGAUUCUUCAGGAAGUCUUUUUGGCUUCCCCACAUUCAUUCAGCAUGAUCUUCUUAAAACCUGCCUCCAAAUCAUGCAGACCCUCUAUCAUGACCUUGAGGAAGCUGCCUGCAGUGGGACCCAUGAUUGGCAGGGUCUCCCUCGUGUGCUCCCCAUCCCCUCUUCUGAUGCAUCUUGCUCCCUCCACAAAAACCCUUCUUCCUCUGCCCCGUCCCAAGGCCUUUUCCAGGAUGCCCUCCGUCUCCACUAUCCUCCCAUGAUCGAUGCCAGUCUGUCCUCUAGAUUUCAGAGAGAGCCGACUCCGCGCUCUUCUGACAGGCCAGGUCAGGUAGCCGCUGUUCAGCGCACUCUGCAAGCUGAAUUCUGGCCUUGCAGAGCAUUCAUCUCAGUCUGGCAUUCUGCAUUCAUUAGCAGGACCCUGCUGCAUGUGUCUUUCCCUUUGGCCAGAAAUUCCUUGAAGGCGGUGACAUUCGCCUCCACUCACCGCUGCAGCUGCACCCCAGCCCCUUGUCUGUGUGUGCAUGGAGCAGUCACUCUGCAACAGAAUGUCCUCUCAAUGAAUGAAUGAAUGCACACAGCCUGAGCCCUGAGUGUCCUUCAAGGCGCUCGUUCUUCGGAAGCCCCGGGUCUUUGUCUUCUUUCAGCAGCAUAACAGCAGCAGGCACUGCUGAGGAGACACAGGGUGCCAGGCGCUGCCCAGAGCACUGUGUACUGCCAGCCAUUGACUUGGGGCCCAGUUCCUCCUGACAGGCAGGCCCUGGAAAUACCCCAGCAGGUAAGUGCCAAAGCCACGCCAUCAUCCCAUUGGUAAUUGACGACACUGCUAUUUAAACUCAGGCCCCACGAUCUGUCCAGAGCCUUGCUCCAUGCCUCUAAGGAGCCAAGAUGACAAAGCUGAAUAGGGAAGCCCCUGGGGCUUGCUUCCAGGGACCCAGCAAAGCCCUCUCCAUUCUCAGAGGCUUCCACUCUGAUUUCCUAAACUAGGCGGUGUUCUCUCCCUUCAUGCAUCUGUAAAAGGUUAGAUUCUAACCUUGUUUCAAGCACUUCGUAAUAGAACCUGAUUAAAAACCUCAUAAAAUAUAAAACGGGGUCAUGUCCAGAGAGAAUGAGGGAACGGUUUCAGAUCCGCAGGAAGCUCUAUUUAAUUUUGGUGUCUAGCUGGUGAAUUCUUCUGAGGCUUGCACAGUGACCUUCACUACCUACAAAGACGGAUGUGCAUUCCCCACAACUGUUUUGGGAAGCACAACCCUAGGGCUCCCUUCCCAGUUUUUGACUUCAGCCAAAGCCCCGGCCCUGGGCCAUAUACCUCUGCCCACAGUGUGGCUUCUUUUCCAAAAUGCAUCCUACUUGAGAACAGCCUCCCCUCCAGAACAUUGUGGACCUUCUAUGUAGGUAGAUUUGAUGCCCUCCAUAAGAACCAAGAGUGUCCCGCUCCCUUUUUCUGGAACCUUGCUCUAACAGUUUCUACCAUCUGAAGCCCUAAGUUUAAAAUCUCUGCAUUGUAACUUCCAUAGGGUCCUACAGCUGUAGCUAGCCGUAUUUCAAACCAUAGAAUUCUCUGAGGAGGCCCAGCGCAGACAACCCAAAGCUUUGGAUAUAGGGGGCUUGUCAGACGCACACUUUACAAACUGGUCAUCGUCUGCUGACCCCCGUUAGCACAUCAGGUGAAAGCUGGGUUUAAAAGGAACUUACUUAAUAUCGAAUAUCAAAUAAACAGCAAUGGUUCUUAGAAUGUGGUCCUGGGGCCAACGGCAGCACCAGUAUCCCUGAGAACUUGUUAGUAAUGCAAAUAGAAAUUCCUCUGGUGAAGCUCAGCAGUCUGUGUUAACCAGCACCCCAGGGGUUCUGAAGUGCACACAAGUUUGAGAACCACAAAAAAAAAGGAGUGAGAGAUGGAAAUAGAAAAGAAUCUCUAGUACCAAAUGAUAAAAGGGCAUGGUAUUGAAAUGUCCAUCCCUAUCAGCGGUAGCCAGUGAAACAUUUAGGGCAUUUACUGAGUGUUUGAAUAAUAAUUUUUAAAACCCAUUUUUCAGAUCUUAAAAGUAAAUCUCCAGGUGUUCUAGGCUGUGGAAACCUGACCCUUCCCAUCUUCACAAUAAACAUGCCCAGGAACAAGCUUUUAUCCCUCACCACAGGGAGGACCGAAGGUAAGAGGUUUUCGACCAAUACAAAGUCUUAGGAAUUCAAUAAAUUACGAAAAAAAAAAAAAUCUAACAAUGCAGGACAUAUUUUAAAGGCUUUAUAUUUCUCUACUCUCAAUUCACAACAAUCCCAUUUUAAGAAAGGCAGCAAAGAGUUCUGGUAACUUGCCCUGGGGAUGGAAGUAUCUACUUGCUGGGGCAGAGAUUGGAGCCCCAUGGGGUCCCCAGGCUCACACUUGGCCCUGCCUUUGAUUUGCCAUCUCCUUCAUGAACAAAUGGGGUCCAGAAAAGCAGGCAAGCCCAGCUCAAAGCACCUGUGUCUGUCUCAGCCCUGAGAAGCCAUUUAUAGAUGGUACCUAAUGAAAAUCCUGAGCCUAACAUAACAUCAUGAAGCUGACACAGGACAAUGAUUCCAUUUAAACUUUUUUGUUGUUCUUUUACCUUUUGGUGGUAUCCCUUUUGGGCUUGUUUUCCGGAUAAUCGUUGCUAACAUUUGCCCUCUUCCAAGGGGGUGGUCUCCUGUGUUCCUUGUACAAUAGCCAAAAAUCUUUUCAACUACAAGUAACUAUCUUGGUAGGUACCGACUCCAGGCAAGUGGGGUGUUUUUUGUUGUUGUUGUUGUUGUUGUUUUGUUUUUUUAAGAAAAAUAUAGUAACUUGAGGAUUUGAGGCAAGAGUUCCUCCCUAUCCCAUCUUACCUACCAUAGUAAGACCCUCAGGGAAGCUGUGCGUCUUCUCCCCAGGAAAACUGCACAUGACUGGGAUUUCAGGAAGAGUUCAUGGGUCUCAAGGACAGAGUUGAAAUCAAAAGUUUUCACCUUGACAUUGAUUGAGGGCACAUUUUAAAGCAGGGACAAAGAUGUUCCACUAUUCCCUCAAAGCCCUAAUUUUUUGGGGUGGGGGGACGCGAGCUAUAGGGAUUGAAUUCAUUGAGCCACACCCCCAGCCCUAUUUUGUAUUUUAUUUAGAGACAGCAUCUCACUGAGUUGCUUAGUGCCUCACUUUUGCUGAGGCUGGCUUUGAACUCACUAUCUUCUUGCCUCAGCCUCCUGAGCCACUGGGAUUACAGAAGUGCACCACUGUGCCCGGCCCUCAAUGCCCUAAAUAUCCUCAGAAGGAGCCUCACACAGACCAGAGAGAGAAUUCAAAAUUGCUAUUUUAAAAGGCAAUAGCAGGGGCUGGGGUUGUAGCUCAGUAGAAGAGCACUUGCCUAGCGUGUGUGUGAGGCACUGGGUUCAAUUCUCAGCGUCACAUAUAAAUAAAUAAAAGCCCAUCAACAACUAAAAACUAUAAAUAAAUAAAAGGCAAUAGCCCCCCUCCCUCCAAAAAAUGUUUUAAUGGAGAAAUAGACCAAAAUGAACAAGCAGGAAAAUCAAAUUUCUGACAUGCUUUCUAGAGACUUGAUCCACGGCUUCCUGUUUCCAGCAGGGGACAUGGGGCCAUAAGUGAACUAACCCAAAUUAAUAUAUCAACAAAGCUGAAGCCUACAGAGGAUGAAGCUUGGGAGCAGCCUCAGGUUCUGGGCACCUGGUGGCAGUCUUAACUGUCAUGGUUGUAGAUGAGUGGUACCAGGCAAGAGCCACUGAUGCAAGCAGAGGUGCUAUUGUCAAGGCUGUGAGGGACACCUGUGGCAAUGCCCACUGCUGGGCCAUUGCAACUCCAUCUUACAGCUGUGGAUCAGGAAGGUUAAGGAACCUUCCCUAGGACACACAGCCUUGCCCUCUAUUUCUGUGCUCCAGGACAAAGAGCAUUCCCUUGCUAGCAUUAGCCCCAAGCCCUGCACUUCGCCUGUGCCAUCUCACAUAGACCCAAUCAGCCCUGGGAAGGAAAGCAAGCAGGAUUACCCUUCCCAUGUUUCAGGUGAGGAACAGACUCAGGUGCGAAACUCCCUCAAGUUCUCGCCAACUGUAUAUUUUCAGGGCUGCUCAUCCUGCCCAAGGAGGCUUCAUCCUCCACCCUCCUUCCUGAGCAGCUCUUCUGCCACCUAACGAGAGAUUCUGUAGAAAUGACCAGCUUCUACACUGGAGCUAGGGGAGAAAACACUGGCAGUGGAGAAAAUUAAGCACUGGCUUCCUGAUGUGGACCUCAAGUCCUUUCCUAUGCCUGCCUCCACUGGAGGCUGCAGUGCGGGUAAGGCUGGCUUCAAAGGCUGAGCUCAGUUAGUGCUGUCAGCCUGUUGCUGGGUUUGGUACCCUGCAUGUUUAGAGGCACAGAAUGACAAGCAACAGCACUGCUGAAGAACCACACUUUAAAGAUUACAGACACAAAGGAUGGAAUGUGAAAGUCCUCUAUAAUCCUACCCCCUGAGGGAACCUCUAGCCUUUAUUUUUAAUUUGGAUAUUUCUCGUGAUUACAAAAGUCAUGCACAUUUAAAGACCCAUCAGAUAAAACUCAAAUGACAGCCUCCUUGCUCAGUUACCUUGGUGGGCAAAGCCUCUUGAGUCCAUAUGGGUUACCAGGUCUCCCGCAGUUGACCACCUUGUGUUUUUUGUUUUUUUAAACUCUGAGAGCUAACAGACUGGGCAAGGGCUGUCCUGAAAUCCUUUUGAAACAUAAGUUGCGUCCUGGGGCUCUGAUCUCCACGGGCCACAUCCACCCAGGAUUCACGGCCGCCCUGCUGGCCCUCCUGCUGUUCCUCAGAAGACCUGAGUUUUCUCUUGGUGGAAGCCACUCUCAUCUCCCCGUGGAAUGUGUGCCACCAUCCACAUGUCACCUCCCUUCCUUGCCCUGCUCCUCCUUCCUCCCUGGCAGGCAUCUCCCUGACACCCCCACAUAAGCUGUUUGUGAUCUUGUCUCCUCCCAUUAGAUCUUAGCGGCCCAGGGGCAGGGAGAUGGGCUCCUUAGUUCAUUGAUGUGCUCUGAAGCACCCGGAGCAAUCCUUGGCACACAGUAAGUGUCCAACACGUAUGAUCUGAAUGAAUGAACAUGGGACCCUUUCUGCCAAGGCUGGGAAGGAAACAGCCCCCUGUGUCUGCACUGUUCCCAUGGAUGGCUCCUCUCGGCACUGUCUCAUGUCUGCAAAGCUGGGAGUUCAGUGCACCCAGUUCUCCCAUUUUACCAGUGUGCGCAGUCUAGCCCACAGGGGAGGGCUCUUUUUUGUCAAAAGAAAGACUGUUUUCCAUCGGGCACUGUGAUGUACAAGCCCAGGAAUUUUGGAUACAUCUUGCUGAGUUAAAGACACAGGGAAGAGCUCCCAGGCUGCAUGCCCUGAACCCAGAGCCAGUUGGGCUCCCCCAUUACAUUCUCACAUGGCACCACGUACUUCAAAACCGCACAACCAUUGAGAUGCAAAGGAAUAACUGUGGUGUUCCAACAUUCCUCUUCUCCACCAAGACAGGAGUCCAAGGUGUGGGGCUCUUUGGCUCUUUUUCCUCCCUAGUGCAAUGUCCUGCACAGAGUUAAGAGUCCUCAGGGCCAGCUGGCUGUCUCAUGCGGUCCCUGAUCGGUUUGGAACACAGGACUCUUACCUUAUUCCCUUUGUCAGAAAAGACAUUCAGUGUUCCUCUCCUCCAAGACCAAUCAAACAAAUUCAGACCAGUGACAAAUUGAAGGCACAGCCAGCUUGGGGGGAAAAAGGUGCCUGGAUGAGAAGGCCCCCGUUUCUCCUUGAGGGAGUGAGGAAUGGCAUGGGGCCAGGGGAAGGGCACUGAUUCAGGGCCUAAAGGAAAAACUAGCUCUGUUGCUUGUAGCCAAAAGCAUUCAUAAGUGAACUAACCCAAAUUAAUAUAUCAGAAUUAUCACCCAUUGCAAGAACCUGGCUAUAGGGAGGUGUUGAAAUAAUCAAGGAUGCCAUCAAAAGCCUGGACACUACACUUCUGUUCUACCACCCUUGCACCUCAUGGUCACAAGAGGGCUGCUGACAUUCAAGUCAACACUUCCGCAUUCCAGGAGAGAGAAAAGGAAGGUGCAAGAACCCUUUUAUCUGAAAACAGUCUUUCCAGAAACAUCUACCUCCACCCAGCAGAUUUCCACUUCCACUGGCUAAAACCAUAUCACUUGACCACCCCAGCAGCCAGGGAACUGGGAAAGAUUCUAGUGCAGAAGGUGGAAAUUUUUAGGCAGCAAGAAAGGAUUAGCAAUCCCUGAAGAGCCCACCGACCAGCAACAUCUGCCAAAUGAGGUAGAUUAUUUUCUAAUGUAACACCUGUUUCUGUGGGAUUUCUUAUUACAAAAGCAAUGUUUUGUAGUGUGACUUCACAAAAUAAAAAUAUAAAAUCUCUACAAUCCCAUCACACUGAAGUAACCACUUUUCCCCCUGGGUAUCCUGGAAGCUCUUUGUAUUUUUUAACACGGAGAGAACCACACUGUGGGUUGCUCUGUAAUUAGUCUUCUGAUAUUGUUUAAAAAAAAAAUGAUUUCCAAGUCACUAAAUGUUCUUUGCAGAAUCACGUUUUAGGACCACAUGUUCCCCUGAAUAAGGUACCAUGAUUUGUUUAUUCAGUCCCUUGGUGUUAGGCAUUUUGAUGUUUACAAAAGUAAAAUGUGAGAAGACAAUGAUAGCGACUCACUUCCUAGCUCAACCUUGACCCAGCAAUUCCCUUCUGGGAAUGUACCAUAAGAGAAGAAUCUUAGAUGUGCACAUUCUUUAGAACUUUUGAAAUAUUUUAUCAAAUUGCUCUCCUAAAAGAUGGAUUAUACGUUAGAACAGUCCUAACAGGUAACAAUACCCAUCCCCCCCCCCCGAGUUUUUACCAAUAUAAAAAACAGGGGACAAAUUUUAAAAAAUAGAAUUAAAAAAAUUCUACUGUCAUGUAUAAUUAGAACAAAUAAAAAAAAUUUUUUUUUAAAUACACAGGGGGAACAGAUCUAGGUACUGGUAGCCUAACCCAGCUCCCUUAUUUCCCAGAUUGAGGGAACAGAGGAAGCACUUACGAAAGGCCCCCAACAAGGUCAGGAGACCAUGGGGGCGUGAUGUCCAGAAGGCCAUUGGUCUGGGCAGUCCCCAGGUGUGGAAGUCAUCUUGGACAGAUUUACCUCUGACUCGGCACCAUAUUGCCAUGCUAGCUGUAUGACCCUCGGCUUCUCACUUAAGUGUUUCUGGGACCAGUAAAAAGAGGAAGUAUGGCUCAGUCAGCUCCCCUCACCAGUCGUCAAGUCAGUUAUGGACUGAAUUAUGUCUCCCUCGUGUCCUAUGUGGAAGCUUUAACCUGGGAUAGGAUUGCAUUUGAGAUAGAGCUUGAAAGAGGUCGUUCGAGUUAGAUGAGGUAGCAAAGGUGGGAUCCUGGUGUCCUCCUAAGAAGAGGACCCAAGGAGGAGCACUCAAAGGAAAGACCUGGUGAGGAGAUGGCAAGGUGACCAUUUGCAAGCAAGGAGAAAGGCCUCAGGAGACACCAAGCCUGCUAGUGCCUUCCUCUUGGACUUCUUCACUCCAGAACUGAGAGAAAUAAGUGUAUGUCGUCUUAGCGGCCCCAUUUGUAAUAUUUUGUCAUAGCAGCUCUAGCAAACUAAUGCAGUGCCCUAACAGGUAUGGUGGAGGCUACUACUCCUCCAGAAUCCUGAGCCACAGGUAUCAGAUACCCUGAAACUACAGUCAGAUUCUUUAUGUAAGCCUUGAAUAUAUGAACGACAGGUGCCAUGGAUGCCCCCACCAUCGUCCCAGCCACCUCUGAGUGCCCUGUCACUAUAAUGGAACGUUUCCCUGAGGCUGACUGUAUCCACUCCACCCGAGGGCUGGACCUGAGGCUGUUUCUGGAGCCACAGGGGUCUGUUCAGUCCAAAUGCAGGCUCUAUCUGCUGGGAAGUACCUGGGAACACCCCUGGGGCCGCCUUCCACCAAGCGAGCAUGGAAGACACAGUUGCCCCAACAUUCUGCUCAGUCCUCAAGUGAUUCCCCAGAAAGUUGGAGCCCCCAUUGCCCAUGUGACCACAGAUGCCCGCUUUAUUGGCUCAUAACUCCUCCCCUCUCUCAUACCCUCUGCGACGCCCCAAACUCCUGCAUCUUGGAAUGUUCUCCCAAAUAAACUACAGGUCUCAGAA